GCAGCUUGGACUAGAUUUGGUUCCAAGGAAAGAGUUUGCUAUGGUUGAUCCAGAAGACAUUAGCGUUACUGAAUUAUAUAAAUUGAUGGAACACAGACAUCGGAAAAAAGACACUCCAGUUCCAGCUAGCAGUCACCACCUGUUUGUGCAAAUGAAGAGUUUAAUGUGCUCAAACCUGGGAGAGGAGCUAGAGGUGAUAUUCUCACUUUAUGAUGGCAAAGAAAAUCGACCAAUAAGGAGAAACAACUAGACGAUACUGAAAACCACUCUGCACUAUUGCUAUCAAUCAGGCUUUGAAAUAAAGUGAAAUCACAUGUACACACAACAUAU